rnacentral:tRNA from 1 species
AGCGAUUUGGUGUAAAGGUUUGCACGAUAGUCUCAUAAACUAUUAGAUUAGGUUCAACUCCUUAAGUCGCUG